CCUUUGAAGUCGGCUUUUCCUGUUACCACAAAACAGAAUUCAUCAAGUGUUGGUCGGUUUACCCAUUAACAAUGAACACGAGCUGGGUUUAGACUGCCAUGAGACAAGUU
rnacentral:ncRNA from 1 species